GAGUUUGAUCGUGGCUCAGAUUGAACGCUGGCGGCAUGCCUUACACAUGCAAGUCGAACGGCAGCGCGGGAGCAAUCCUGGCGGCGAGUGGCGAACGGGUGAGUAAUACAUCGGAACGUGCCCAAUCGUGGGGGAUAACGCAGCGAAAGCUGUGCUAAUACCGCAUACGAUCUACGGAUGAAAGCAGGGGAUCGCAAGACCUUGCGCGAAUGGAGCGGCCGAUGGCAGAUUAGGUAGUUGGUGGGGUAAAGGCUCACCAAGCCGACGAUCUGUAGCUGGUCUGAGAGGACGACCAGCCACACUGGGACUGAGACACGGCCCAGACUCCUACGGGAGGCAGCAGUGGGGAAUUUUGGACAAUGGGCGCAAGCCUGAUCCAGCCAUGCCGCGUGCAGGAUGAAGGCCUUCGGGUUGUAAAC
rnacentral:rRNA from 1 species